AUUAAUUAUUAAGUGUUACGUUUAAAACAAUAUAAGACUGAAAAUAUAUCGCUGCUACUUACAUAUGGUUAAAUGGCACAUUACAUUAUCCUGAAGCUAAAGCUGUUCCAGAUGACGUAUUUAAACGAUCCCAGUGUGUCGGAUUAUAGCGAAAUUGUAUGAGAAUUAUGAGGUAGCAAGUUGCAGCGCCACAAAUCUGCAUGUGAGAGAAUAUAAGUUUUACAUUAAUUCGAAUAUUCAACUUCAGUUCUACUCACUGUAAAUAUUAACGUACGAUCCAAAUUAAAUAGUCCGGCAGCUGUGAACACAACUCGUCUAUGUGACAAUUGCAACGACAAACGUAACAGACGAUCAUGUACGGCCGAUUCCUCGGAUAUGUUUAGUAUUUUAUGAACAAUAGCUGCUGUUUUAUUGCUUUCCUUAAUGGUUUUGCUGCUACCCUCAACAAUUAACAAGAUUAUCACCACAUACCACAACAUUUGCGUAAUGAAAAAUGCGAAGAAUUCAUCGGCUUCAAAUUUGUCAACACGACUUGGCGUAAUGACCGCUUCUAAUAUGUAAAAGUCAUCAAAUAGAAUAAAUAGAAAUGAAAUAGCAAUAAUGGCAAGCAUUGGAUAAUUAAAGUAAUCCUCGAUUGUGCAACAUAUGUCGCAAAGUAGAUUAUGCACAUUGCUGACUUGUUUGAGCGCUCCUUCAGGAUUGCGACGUACAAGCGAAGUGACGCUGUAACGUGUGCGUGGCGUAGCUGUGGAUUGAAUAACCGAUGGUGCAUGUCGUGAAGGCAUAUUAUUGGUACUAUGUAGAUGUAUUACUGAGUGCUUUGGUGAGAGCUUAACUGCAUCGUGCUCCUCAAUACAAGAGUCGAGUAUAUCCUGUAGCACCUAUAAGACAAAAAAGGAUAUAAGUUUAAUGUAUGAAAGCUACCAUGUAGAGAUAAAUUGUUGUUAUAUCAAACAGUUAUGUAUCUACAUACAUACCUCAUUCAUCAUUCUAAAACGCGUACGUGUCAGAUGUGUGGUGCAUAGAAAUUUGAAGACCAUAAUGCUAAUAUUUAAAUGUGGCAAGGCAAAUGUGGUAAAAACUACAAAUGAUGGCCAUAUCUCUGCCGAGCGCAAUAGCAUAUAACUGACCAAUAGGUAAAAGAAGUUGAACAGCAAUAAUCCUAACGAAGUAACAAAUGAAUACAUCAGUAUUUUGCGAUAAUCAAGCUUUAGUCCCAAACGCAGAAAUAUCCCAUCCACCACCAAACACUUUUGUAUGAUUGUGAGCAGUAAAUUACGCUAAAAUGGAACUAAAAAUCAUCACCAUUGCUAUUAUGCCACUUAAGGAGAGCGUUGCAUCGCCCAAACGCGUUAUGCUAGUCUGAAAGAAGUAGCUAAUGAUGGAGUCUCCUUCGUGUAGCGAUAGAAAAAAACAAAGUACAUAGAAGAAGAAGUGUAAAAUGCCAGCAGCAAGAGAAAAAGCAGAAGUGCGCACUUCCUUGCUAACACUCAAACGAAAUGGUGCCAAACCAAUCAGGGAAAUAUAUGCUAACGGUCGAAGUGAUUGUAAAAUGCUAUCCGAUUGCGUUAAACGUUUCAAAAACUGCCAGGCCAUUAUGAAAGUGCACUUUAUUAUUAAACCGUUCCUUUAGUAUGAGUACACAGUGAUUAUAUAUAUGUAGAUAUAUGUAUGUAUGCACAUAUAUAGUUUGUGUCCGUAUCGCGUUCUCAAAUAACCACCUUUUAUAGGUCAAUGUGAACCGGAAGACAAUAAUAAAAUGCUUUGUAAACGUCCGUAAGCGUCGCGCACUUGUUGAUUACUGUCGCGAAAUUCCGUAUUGUCAGUGAAAUACUUCCGAGUUUCUUUGGCAUGUCCUUUCAGUUUAAUUGUAUAAAUAUUGUAUAACGUUAUUGUUGUAUUGACGCGUCAUUGAUGAAGUAUCGGUUGCUCGGGAGUGUGUAGGAGUGCCGCGCUGACUUUCAAUUCCACAAAUAUGAUUAGUGUAUGGUGGCGCGGUCAAGAGAGUUUACAUGCUACAACGCGUUAAAAGGACAUUGCCCGUAAUCGAAGUGAAUGAUGGCUCGUUACAGCCGUAAUAAGCUACAAUUGCUAUCAAUAUAACAAAUGACUAUUGGAUUGUGACACAAUUUGCACCAACAAAAAUAAUGAGGAAUACGCUUACUCAUAUACAUACACAC